rnacentral:rRNA from 1 species
UACGGAGGGGGGCUAGCGUUGUUCGGAAUUACUGGGCGUAAAGCGCACGUAGGCGGCUUUGUAAGUUAGAGGUGAAAGCCCGGGGCUCAACUCCGGAAUUGCCUUUAAGACUGCAUCGCUCGAAUUGUGGAGAGGUAAGUGGAAUUCCGAGUGUAGAGGUGAAAUUCGUAGAUAUUCGGAAGAACACCAGUGGCGAAGGCGACUAACUGGACAGGUAUUGACGCUGAGGUGCGAAAGCGUGGGGAGCAAACAGG